CCGCAGAUGGUUAUCCCUUUCUUGUCUGGCAUGGGGGACUCUAGAGGGAGUCAAUCUGCAAAAACAAGUGGUAAGUUCUGCUUCUGCCUAGCUUGUGCCUAUUGGUGGCUUUAGACUUGCCAAACAUGG
rnacentral:snoRNA from 10 species